rnacentral:rRNA from 1 species
AGCAGCCGCGGUAAUUCCAGCUCCAAUAGCGUAUAUUAAAGUUGUUGCAGUUAAAAAGCUCGUAGUUGAAUUUCGGGAUUGGCGCAUCGGUCGUGCCUUACGGGGUAUGAACUGGUGCAGUCAAUUUCUCACCUUCUGGAGAACCGCGAUGUCCUUAAUUGGGUGCCGUGGGGAACCAGGACCUUUACUUUGAAAAAUUAGAGUGUUUAAAGCAGGCAUUUUUGCUUGAAUACAUUAGCAUGGAAUAAUAAAAUAGGACGGCAUGGUUCUAUUUUGUUGGUUUCUAGGACCACCGUAAUGAUUAAUAGGGAUAGUUGGGGGCAUUAGUAUUCAAUUGUCAGAGGUGAAAUUCUUGGAUUUAUUGAAGACUAACUACUGCGAAAGCAUUUGCCAAGGAUGUUUUCAUUAAUCAAGAACGAAAGUUAGGGGAUCGAAGACGAUCAGAUACCG